UACGUAGGGUGCGAGCGUUGUCCGGAAUUAUUGGGCGUAAAAGGGCUCGUAGGCGGUUUGUCGCGUCGGGAGUGAAAACACUGGGCUUAACUCAGUGCUUGCUUCCGAUACGGGCAGACUAGAGGUAUUCAGGGGAGAACGGAAUUCCUGGUGUAGCGGUGAAAUGACGCAGAUAUCAGGAGGAACACCGGUGGCGAAGGCGGUUCUCUGGGAAUGUCCUGACGCUGAGGAGCGAAAGUGUGGGGAGCGAACAGG
rnacentral:rRNA from 1 species